AAGCCACGGCUAACUACGUGCCAGCAGCCGCGGUAAUACGUAGGUGGCAAGCGUUAUCCGGAAUUAUUGGGCGUAAAGCGCGCGUAGGCGGUUUUUUAAGUCUGAUGUGAAAGCCCACGGCUCAACCGUGGAGGGUCAUUGGAAACUGGAAAACUUGAGUGCAGAAGAGGAAAGUGGAAUUCCAUGUGUAGCGGUGAAAUGCGCAGAGAUAUGGAGGAACACCAGUGGCGAAGGCGACUUUCUGGUCUGUAACUGACGCUGAUGUGCGAAAGCGUGGGGAUCAAACAGGAUUA
rnacentral:rRNA from 1 species